rnacentral:lncRNA from 1 species
AUAAUCUUCAUCUACAGAAAGGUUCUAGAAUGCUCUUUCCCCCCCCCCAAAAAAAAACCUUGGGUACUGGAUAUUGAUGGUUAUUAUUACUUGGGUACCACACAGGUAACCUCUACAGCAGGUAGUUCAACAGAAGAUAUCUUUACUUUCUGAUGUAUAGAUGGGACAUGUCUUUCUGCCUGUUAGAAGACUUAUCGAGUGUAAUCCUUCCAGGACAUGUUGUGUCUCAGGGUACCUCAAAGGAGUGAUUAAGUAUGCGGAGUGGAGGGAGAUGAGAUGAAUCUAAGAAGUAAACAUUUGUGAAGCAUCUCCAUUCUGUCUGGAAUAAUGCGUGAAGUGGAGGGGAUAGUGGAACAUCUAACAAGCUUAACGUUGAUGUACUAGAUUAGACAUACUUGCUAUGUCCCUGCUAAUCCACCAUGAAGGUGCAGCUUCCAUCCUCUUAAAGCUCAGCUUACUAAAUGAUUUGUCUGACCAAGGAGUGAAGUCCAGGUAACGUUUUUGAUUUCUGAUGAAAUUCAGUUGCAGGAAUCUUGCAGAUUUUACUGAACCUAAAUAGUGUUCCUUUUAGAAACUCAGUCACUCUGCUAUAAGGACAUCUAAGCAACCUGGGAAUAACUACUCAAGUGUCUCAGCCAAGUUUCCCCAUCAAAGAAGCAUUAGGCUUACAUUCUGGCUGACAUGUAAUAUCAACUUGCUGGCCAUGUUAGGAAGCCAUCUUGGCACUGUAUCUUUUGUCUCUAUCCGCAGUGUCUCAGACAGAAGUCCCUCAGCUCUCCUCUAAUUCCUC